CCUACGGGGGGCAGCAGUGGGGAAUAUUGCACAAUGGGGGAAACCCUGAUGCAGCGACGCCGCGUGAAGGAAGAAGUAUUUCGGUAUGUAAACUUCUAUCAGCAGGGAAGAAGAUGACGGUACCUGACUAAGAAGCACCGGCUAAAUACGUGCCAGCAGCCGCGGUAAUACGUAUGGUGCAAGCGUUAUCCGGAUUUACUGGGUGUAAAGGGAGCGUAGACGGAGAGGGAAGUCUGAAGUGAAAGCCCGGGGCUCAACCCCGGGACUGCUUUGGAAACUGCAGUUCUAGAGUGCCGGAGAGGUAAGCGGAAUUCCUAGUGUAGCGGUGAAAUGCGUAGAUAUUAGGAGGAACACCAGUGGCGAAGGCGGCUUACUGGACGGUGACUGACGUUGAGGCUCGAAAGCGUGGGGAGCAAACAGGAUUAGAUACCCCAGUAGUC
rnacentral:rRNA from 1 species